CACACAGAACCUCAAAUAUGGCCGUACAGAAAAUCAACAUGAAAAAACAUAUCUUAUUUUGCAAGAUGACCACACUUCAUACAGAAGCUAAAUUAGAGUUGCCAGUUUGCACAUCAUAUGAUUUACUUUCUUAUUCUAACCAAAUUUCAACUAGGUUCCUCCAAUUACUCAUAUGAACUGCCAAAACUUGUAAAUUCCUCCAAUCACACGUUUCAUCAUUGUUUGUCCCCACCAACUUCUAAUUAUCAACUCCACUGUUGCAGCUCAAGUCAUUCGCCAUUGCAUCUGAAUGUGGAUCCAGAGUUACAAUAUUGAGUAUUUCGACGCCUCUGAUUGGAAAAGCCCUGCUAUCCUCAACAGUGGCAGUGUUGGACAUUUGAACAUUGACCCCUCUAUGCAUGCCCAAGGCAAGGAUAUAAUACCAAUUUG
rnacentral:misc_RNA from 1 species